UACGUAGGGUCCGAGCGUUGUCCGGAAUUACUGGGCGUAAAGAGCUCGUAGGUGGUUUGUCGCGUUGUUCGUGAAAACUCACAGCUCAACUGUGGGCGUGCGGGCGAUACGGGCAGACUAGAGUACUGCAGGGGAGACUGGAGUUCCUGGUGUAGCGGUGGAAUGCGCAGAUAUCAGGAGGAACACCGGUGGCGAAGGCGGGUCUCUGGGCAGUAACUGACGCUGAGGAGCGAAAGCGUGGGGAGCGAACAGG
rnacentral:rRNA from 1 species